CCUACGGGAGGCAGCAGUGAGGAAUAUUGGUCAAUGGACGGAAGUCUGAACCAGCCAUGCCGCGUGCAGGAAGACGGCUCUAUGAGUUGUAAACUGCUUUUGUACAAGGGUAAACCUGAAUACGUGUAUUCAGCUGAAAGUACUGUACGAAUAAGGAUCGGCUAACUCCGUGCCAGCAGCCGCGGUAAUACGGAGGAUCCAAGCGUUAUCCGGAUUUAUUGGGUUGAAAGGGUGCGUAGGCGGAUUGAUAAGUUAGAUGUGAAAUGUCCGAGCUCAACUCGGGAACUGCCUCUGAUACUGGUGAUCUAGAGGGUAGGUGCGGUAGGCGGAAUGUAUGGUGUAGCGGUGAAAGGCUUAGAGAUCAUACAGAACACCGAUUGCGAAGGCAGCUUACCAAUCUAUAUCUGACGUUGAGGCACGAAAGCGUGGGGAGCAAACAGGAUUAGAUACCCCAGUAGUC
rnacentral:rRNA from 1 species